CUUAAACGUAUUAGCUGAAUCUUGGUAUGAGAUUGGUUCUACUCAGCGUGAUAAUUAUCUGACCGCUGAGGACAUCUUUCGGGAUGGCCAGACUUGUCCUCGAGUCGCUUCUAAUCUGGUUUAAAACGAGGCUUAAUUGCUUUGUUUUACCACUUUUCAACUUUGACCUCGAAUCAGGCGGGACUACCCGCUGAACUUAA
rnacentral:misc_RNA from 1 species